AUUGAACGCUGGCGGCAUGCUUUACACAUGCAAGUCGAACGGUAACAGGGAGCUUGCUCCGCUGACGAGUGGCGAACGGGUGAGUAAUGCGUCGGAACGUGCCGAGUAGUGGGGGAUAACGCAUCGAAAGGUGUGCUAAUACCGCAUACGUACUGAGGUAGAAAGUGGGGGACCUUCGGGCCUCACGCUAUUCGAGCGGCCGACGUCUGAUUAGCUAGUUGGUGAGGAAAAGGCUCACCAAGGCGACGAUCAGUAGCGGGUCUGAGAGGAUGAUCCGCCACACUGGGACUGAGACACGGCCCAGACUCCUACGGGAGGCAGCAGUGGGGAAUAUUGGACAAUGGGGGCAACCCUGAUCCAGCAAUGCCGCGUGUGUGAAGAAGGCCUUCGGGUUGUAAAGCACUUUUGGCAGGGAGGAAGAUGUGGAGUUUAAGAGACACUACAUUUGACUGUACCUGCAGAAUAAGCACCGGCUAACUCUGUGCCAGCCGCCGCGGUAAUAC
rnacentral:rRNA from 1 species